UACGGAGGGUGCGAGCGUUGUCCGGAAUCAUUGGGCGUAAAGGGCGCGUAGGUGGCCCGGUCAGUCUUUGGUGAAAGCGCGGGGCUCAACCCUGCGUCGGCCAGGGAUACUGCCGCGGCUCGAGCACUGUAGAGGCAGGCGGAAUUCCGGGUGUAGCGGUGGAAUGCGUAGAGAUCCGGAAGAACACCGGUGGCGAAGGCGGCCUGCUGGGCAGUAUGGCUGACACUGAGGCGCGACAGCGUGGGAAGCAAACAGG
rnacentral:rRNA from 1 species